GGGCAGGAGGGCAGGCCUGGCCUCUUCAGAGAGGGUUCUAGAUGCUCCUGCUUGGGUUCGCAGGACAGAUGGCGGCUCUGUGUUCCCGGGAUGACUUCCUCGGCAGCUUCUGUCGCUACCACCUCACAGAACCUGGGCUGGCCAGCAGGCACCUGCUGAGUCCUGUGGGGCGGAGGCAGGUGGCCGGCCACACCCGCGGCCCCAGGCUCAGCCUGCGCUUCCUGGGCAGUUACCGGACGCUGGUCUCGCUGCUGCUGGCCUUCUUCGUGGCCUCUCUGUUCUGCGUCGGGCCCCUCCCAUGCAUGCUGCUGCUCACCCUGGGCUACGUCCUCUACGCCUCUGCCAUGAUACUGCUGACCGAGCGGGGGAAGCUGCACCAGCCCUGAAGGUGGCAGCUGCCUUCAGAGCAGGCUGGAGGGAUUUGCCACACAGCCCCACCCUUGGGCUGAGAGGACCUGGGAAGCCCCUCCAGGAGGGAACACGGUCAUCCUCAGGCUUCUGGAGCGGGGUUCCUGCAGCCGCAGAGGCAUCUGGAGGAAACACAACCAAGAAAGGAAGGCAGUUGGGCCCCAGCAAAGGAGUGGCUACCAGGGCUCAACAGCCACGCUCUGUGACAGCGCAGAGCUCAGCGCCGGCCUUUCCCUCCCUCUGCCAAGGACUCAUGGCCAAGCCAGCUCUCGGGGCCUUUUUUCCAGUGCCCAUUUGGCUACUCUGCUGCACCAAGCUUGGGAGCCAGCCUGCCAAGAGCCGCCUGGGCCUGGCCUCCCCACUGGCUGGCCUUGAGGUAGGCAGAGUGGGUUGUGGCGCCUCCUCUCUCUGUGUGGGACCAGGACGGUGGCUUAAGUCUCCACUCCAGGAAAGAAUCAAAGUUUCUAGAGUUGUGAGAAAACCAGAGAGUGGCUCUCCUGAUUCUUCACUCUGGGGUGCGUUCUUCAUGUUCUCCCAGCUGUUCCAAGACUGGGCCGUAGAAUUCCAUGUUUCAGGAGCCUAAGACCCUCCCAGAGCCCAGGUGCUUCACCGCAGACCGCAAGCCAUUGAGCACAUCACCCAAAGCAGUGGCCAACAUCGCGGACCCCUGUGCCUUGUCACAGAUGGGUGCUGGUCCUCAGGCGUUGGGGACACUGCUGGGUCGAUGGGGUCGGAUUCUGCCAGUUUCUGCUCUGCAGCCAAAGAUGGUCAGAAGCAUUGUCACUUCAGUAACAUCAAGUGCUCAAAGACAUGGCAACCGUUCAGUGGUACUUAAGUAUUCAAAAUAUACAACUACAGAUUCUCUGACAGAAACCAGCACGGGGUCUUCACCUUCAUUCACCCCACAGGCGACAUGCGAGGGAGAACAGCAUCUCAGUGGUGAUUUCCAAACCAAGCCUUUGUUUUCGGUGUGGGGUUUUGGGGGUUUGCUUUAAUGUUUUUGAAAUUGUAAAUGUUGGGCUUUGUAUUUUGAUGUAAACUGAGAAUAAUGGCAUUUUAGGGCCUGUGACCAAAAAUGAAGCUUGUAACGACCAUGGAUCUGAAUAAACAUGUCCUUG
rnacentral:lncRNA from 1 species